CUUAGUACAGGUAGCAAAACCAAAACUGCGGAUGGCUCAUUAAAUCAGUCGUAAUUUAUUGGUGGAUAUGAAAGAUGGGCGAAAGACCGACUUUCUUAAAGAAAGCAAUUUCUUGAAACUUUUUUAUAUGGAUAACCCUGUCAAUUGUAGAGCUAAUACAUGCACGAUAAGUUCGUAGAUGUUUUACGAGGUUUUAUUUGAUGAGUGGAACAUAAACAUCCUAACUUCAAGGACUUAACACCUUUCAAAUUCAUAAAUCGAAAGAUAAUGAAUGGGGAAGGAGUUUCAAUCAAUAAAUGAAAUCAAACGAGGAUAUCAUAGAACAGCGCUUGUCAGCUAGACAAAUAAUCCAACUUUGCUAUGAAUAAUGGUAAAGAGGGACUCAUUAAAUCUUGAAGUAACAGGUAUUUAAUGAGAAUAAAAUAUAGUAAAAGGGCUUAUUGGACAAGGCAACGGAUGAAAAAGCAAAACAAAAAGCCAGCAAGAUAACCUCGAAAGAGGGGACUUUAAUGACCAUAUAACCGUGACCGCGAAAGCCGUCAAAGGUGAAACAUGACAAUGGAGCGAAUCGCACUAAAGGAGGGUAAAUUAAACUAUCAGGGGGUGACUCUUGGUAGGCUCUUCGGCGAUGCACCAUUCGAAUUUCUGACCUAUCAACUAGAUGGUAGGAUAGGGGCCUACCAUGGUUAUAACGGGUAACGGGGAAUUAGGGUUCGAUUCCGGAGAAGGAGCCUUAAAAACGGCUACUACUUCCAUGGAAGGCAGCAGGCGCGUAAAUUACUCGGUGCCAAUACGG
rnacentral:rRNA from 1 species